rnacentral:rRNA from 1 species
AGCGAACGCUGGCGGCAGGCCUAACACAUGCAAGUCGAGCGCCCGUAGCAAUACGGGAGCGGCAGACGGGAGAGUAACACGUGGGAACGUACCCUUCAGUUCGGAACAACCCAGGGAAACUUGGGCUAAUACCGAAUACGUCCGUAAGGAGAAAGAUUUAUCGCUGAAGGAUCGGCCCGCGUCUGAUUAGCUAGUUGGUGAGGUAACGGCUCACCAAGGCGACGAUCAGUAGCUGGUCUGAGAGGAUGAUCAGCCUCACUGGGACUGAGACACGGCCCAGACUCCUACGGGAGGCAG